AUACGGAGGAUCCGAGCGUUAUCCGGAUUUAUUGGGUUUAAAGGGUGCGCAGGCGGCCAUUUAAGUCAGCGGUUAAAUCGUGGGGCUCAACCCCAUUCUGCCGUUGAUACUGGGUGGCUUGAUUGCGGUCGAGGUUGGCGGACUUCGUUGUGUAGCGGUGAAAUGCAUAGAUAUUACACAGAACGCCGAUUGUGAAGACACCUCACGAAGCGGUAACUGACGCUGAGGCACGAAAGCGUGGGGAUCGAACAGGAUUAGAUACCCUGGUAGUCCACGCAGUAAACGAUGAUGACUAACCGUCGGCGAUAGACCGCCGGUGGCCAAGCGAAAGCGAUAAGUCAUCCACCUGGGGAGUACGACCGCAAGGUUGAAACUCAAAUGAAUUGACGGGG
rnacentral:rRNA from 1 species